CCCCCCUUCGGCCGGCCACCUUCCAACCUCCGGCUCCCCUUCCUCCACACCGGUGAGCAUUUUUUUGCUUUUAUUUUUGGAAUUUUUCUUUUAGUUUGUAUGCUAGCUUGUAUGCUUGUAAUAGUUUGUAAGAUAAAUCUCAUGCUUGUAAUAGUUUGUAUGCUUGUGAGAUAAAUCUUAUGCUUGUAAUAGUUUGUAUGCUAGUUUGUACGCUAGCUUGUAUGCUUGUAAUAGUUAUAGGUUAUAGCAAACAUUUUUUCCUCAAGCGACUGUAUUGACUUAGAAGUUACUGUACCAAAUUAGGCUAAAUUAACUUCCUAAACUUUGUUGAAUUAUGAGUUGCUAGACUAAUCUAUAAUUAGUUGCUUUCAGUACAAAUUCUUGUCGUUGUUUUAGUACAUAUAUGGCUAUAAAUUUCUGAUGUUCAUGUAGGAGUGACACCAACCUCGCCACCAUCCGUCUACUUCGACUACUUCGUCUACGGUGUAGCUACGUGAGCAUCUCCCUCAAUCUCGUCUUCCCCUUUUGCUCUGUCCCGGCCAUCUAGCCGAUGACACUUGUAGUUUAAAUGUCAAAGUCGCGUAACCCUAUGCGUCUCCCGUCC
rnacentral:lncRNA from 1 species